rnacentral:rRNA from 1 species
UCGGGAAUUUUGGGCAAUGGGCGAAAGCCUGACCCAGCAACGCCGCGUGAAGGAUGAAGUAUUUCGGUAUGUAAACUUCGAAAGAAUAGGAAGAAUAAAUGACGGUACUAUUUAUAAGGUCCGGCUAACUACGUGCCAGCAGCCGCGGUAAUACGUAGGGACCAAGCGUUGUUCGGAUUUACUGGGCGUAAAGGGCGCGUAGGCGGCAAUUCAAGUCAUCUGUGAAAUCUCCGGGCUUAACUCGGAACGGUCAGAUGAUACUGCUUUGCUAGAGUGCAGAAGGGGCAAUCGGAAUUCUUGGUGUAGCGGUGAAAUGCGUAGAUAUCAAGAGGAACACCUGAGGUGAAGACGGGUUGCUGGGCUGACACUGACGCUGAGGCGCGAAAGCCAGGGGGAGCAAACGGGAUUAGAUACCCCAGUAGUCCCUGAGCGGGCUGGCAAGGCGCAU